CUGUGUACUCUCUUCUAGAACUUUGUAGACCAGGCUGGCCUCAAACUCACAGAGAUCCACCUGCCUCUGCCUCCCUAGUGCUGGGAUUAAAGGCUUUCACCACCACCGCCCGGCAACCCUUUAAUACCUCUUACAUUAGCCUUACUUUGUGCAGAUGGUGUUACAUGUAGCCAAUCUAGGGAUUGGCUUCUCGUGGAAGAGGCAGGCUCACCCUAAACUCCUGAUCCCCUCCACCCCUUUUUUCCCUGUCUAGUUCUCUUACUUCAGCACUCAGGACCAAACCCAGAGCCUUGUGUUGGUUUUGCUGUGAUCUGCUACUGAGCUAAAGCCCCACACCCUUGUUUCUCUUAGUAGGUGUUAUCUAUACUCUUGGGCAGAGGCUGGGCAGAUGGAAGAACCCAACAGCACUCUAGGAAACAGAAGCCCAAGAAGAACACAGUCCUUUAAUGUCACCCACUCAAAAGACAGCAUGCCAGCUGUCUAUACUCUUGGAUCUGGUUUGGUGGCACACACCUUCAACCCCAGUACUCUGGAGGCAGGGAGAAGAGGCAAUCUGUGAAUUUGAGGGCAACCUGGUUGUGUAGUGAGUUCCAGGCCAGCCAGGGUAGGAAUACACAAUGAGAAGAUGUCUCUAAAGAAAAAUAAAAGGUUGCUGGGCAGUGGUGGUGCACACCUUUAGUCCCAGCACUUGGGAAACAGAGGCAAGUCUGUGAGUUUGAGGCCAGCCUGGUCUACACAGUGAGUUCCAGGACUGUUACACAGAGAAACCCUGUUUCCAAAAACAAACAAAAAAGAAGCAAAGCCCCUAUUAUGCCUGAAGCCACUUCAGGAAGGUGAAGAUUCAUUUUUAUCUACCACCCCAGGCCCUGCCAAAUGAAUAUGUAUCUCUGAGACGUGGUCAAAGAACAAAAAGUAAUAUGUAGAGAUCAGAGUGUUAGAUCUUAUUAAGCUCACUUAUGGGAGAAUGUGUGGGGUCUUGACCUCUCAAAGCCAUGACUUGUAAUUAAAAAUAGACGGAACUUUAUGAUUUAGAGGUUGAAAAGAGAACUGCUUGGCAGACGAAGGAAAGGUAGCAUAGGGCAGUGGUCACAGUAGCACAGCCAACAAACAAGGAAAGCGUGAUUAAUCGAUGAGUAAGAAUAGCAAGUUUUACAGAGAUUUAACAAAUGUCAAGGAAAUAGGAUUUCUGAAUGAAGGGUUUUAUAGACACCAACAGCCCGUGCAACCCUGGAGAUAGCAUGUGGGGGUGACUUGCACAUGACUCAGUUCCCAUGAUGGAAAUUUACUCAGCUUUAAGAGACUGCUUGCUGUAGGCAGACAUUUAGCAAACAGCACUUGCAGGUGUCUUGGAAUGUACAUACCUGGAGGAACGCUACCUUAAAAAUGGCUGCCAAUUUGUGCUGGUUGCUUUCUGUUGACCCAUUGAUGACUGGAAAGCAGUAGACUCAUAACUUCUGACCUCGAUGCUUUCCCAGGCUGGUGAGGACACUGUCAUGCUGAGCAGUCAACAGUGAGUCACAGCUCUCACUUGGCCACAAGAAGACCACGAGGGUAAACGAAAGAGAUGAAGGGACAACAGUGCAGCUCGAGUUUAUGACAACG
rnacentral:lncRNA from 1 species